AUACGUAGGGGGCGAGCGUUGUCCGGAAUGAUUGGGCGUAAAGGGCGCGUAGGCGGCCGCUUAAGUCUGGAGUGAACGUCCUGUUUUCAAGAUGGGAAUUGCUUUGGAUACUGGGGGGCUUGAGUGCAGGAGAGGUUAUCGGAAUUCCCGGUGUAGCGGUGAAAUGCGUAGAGAUCGGGAGGAACACCAGUGGCGAAGGCGGGUAACUGGACUGCAACUGACGCUGAGGCGCGAAAGUGUGGGGAGCAAACAGGAUUAGAUACCCUGGUAGUCCACACUGUAAACGAUGAAUGCUAGGUGUAAGAGGUAUCGACCCCUUUUGUGCCGGAGUCAACACAAUAAGCAUUCCGCCUGGGGAGUACGGCCGCAAGGUUGAAACUCAAAGGAAUUGACGGGG
rnacentral:rRNA from 1 species